rnacentral:tRNA from 2 species
GCUCGGAUGGUGGAACAGGUAGACACGCAAGACUUAAAAUUUUGUGACCAUUGUGGUCAUGCGGGUUCAAAUCCCGCUCCGAGUA